AAUGUGGUUGGUAGGAAAUUUGUGCUUGGGGAAAAAGAUUUCAAGCUUGUCGGGUUUUGUGGUCGGUCCGGUGAUGCUAUUGAUGCUCUUGGUGCACAUUUUGCGCCUCUUCCACCUCCACCUCCAGCUCCAGCUCCUACUCCGGAUCCCUCUACCACAAAGAUGGGACCGCUAGGUGGUGACAAGGGAAAAACGUUUGACGAUGGUGUUUUGAAUGGUGUGAAGAAAGUAACCAUUGGAGCAGAUGAAUACAGUAUAACUUAUAUCAAGAUCGAAUAUGAAAAUAAUGGAAAAGUUGAAACCCGUGAACACGGGACUAAUCGCGGGGAGCUAAAAGAGGUACAAUAUUUGUAAAACAUAUUUUUAAAAUAUUUUUGUUAACAUAUUCAGUUGGUUCACUAUUAAUUGGUGGUUUCUAUUUUCAUAUGAAAUACAGUUUUCGGUGGCUUAUCCGAAUGAAUAUAUCACAGCCGUUGGUGGAAGCUACAAGCAUAUUUUCAACUACGAUACAACCCUUGUUAAAUCACUAUACUUUACAACUUCCAAAGGAUCUACCUCUCCAUUAUUCGGUGAGCUAAAGGGAACAGAAUUUGAGUUCAAAGAUGAAAAUGGAGGAAAUCUUGUUGGAUUCCAUGGACGUGGUGGUUAUGCUAUUGAUGCCAUUGGUGUACAUUUUGGUCCAGCUCCAAAAUCUUCUACACCGACUCCUCCCAACAAGUUUUCCAAGGUCUACAUUACAUCUGGAAAUGAAGGAAUUGAGGAAAUCAAGUUUUAUAAUGUAGAAAACGGAGAGACAAAGGAAGUGUUUCUUCAUGGUGUGAAGGGUAAAAAUCUCAUUUCAACGGUGCGUUUAUUACAUUUUUACACUCUGGGAUAAAAGUUUAUUUAUGCAUUAAUUAAUCAUAUUUUGAUCUGAGUUUUGCAUGUAAUUUCUCCAGCUUGUUAUUAGCAAUCCUCCUGAUGAGUGUCUCGUUUCUGUCGAGAGUUGGUACAAUUCUUACGAUGUUUCUCAAGGAAUUCAGUUUAAAACUGAAAAGAGCGGUUCCGAUUUCUUUGGAUAUAAGUUUUCUGAGGAUGUUGGUAAACCAUUUUCUCUCCAAGUCAAGGAUAAGAAGAUCAUCGGCGUUCAGAAGUUCCAUGACUCGAAUCUCAUAUCUCCUGGAACGUACUUUGUACUAUCCCGUUCCUCUUCUCCCAACAAAGUGGAAGCUAUAGGAGGAAAGGGUGGAGAAACAUUUGACGAUGGUGCUUUUGAUCAUGUAAGAAAAGUUUUUGUUGCUAAAGGCGAUUCCGGUAUAGCUUAUGUCAAGUUCGAAUACGAAAAAGACGGCAGAAGAGUGACACAGGAGCACGGACAAAAGACAUCUCAAGAAACGGAGGUGUUCGAGGUAGGUCAAGACGAUGACAUCACAUCUGUGAAAGCUUACUACGAAAAACUCGAUGCCUCGAAGACAGAAACUAUAACGUAUCUUGCAUUCAAGACUCUGAAGGGAGUAAACUCUCAGCCGUUUGGAAAGACCCCUGUUAUUGUAAAUGAGCAAACAAAAUUGUCUUUGCUUGAAGGUGGCAAAAUCACUGGUUUUCAUGGAAGCUCGACGGACGUUCUUCAUUCUAUCGGAGCUUAUAUUUCGACUUCUCCUCCGACGAUGUUGCAUGGCAAGUGGAUCCAGGUACGUACGUAGUAUGGAUGGUUAUACGGAUCGGUAUGGUUAGACAUAUUCAAUUUUUUCGAUCAUUCGGUUAAUUAGGAGAUUUCAUAUUUCAGUAGAAAUCAAUCAGUUCGUCUUUGAUUUUUUGAAACAUAAAAGUAAAUAUUAUUUUGUUACAAAAUAUAAUAGUAUGCAAAUUUGUUGUAUUAUAUCAAGUUUUCUUAUAGGUACUGGUUCAAAAUUCAAAAUUCUCGAAUAGAUUAUAUAUGGUUCGAUUCAUAUAUUCUUUAAUUAGCGACCUAGUGCGUACGUAGUAAUACUUCUCGUGAAAAAAAGAUUAUUGUUUCAUGUGUAACCGUGACAUUAAUUGUGUUAAGAAACAUUUGGUGACUAUCAUUACUAGGUGGAACAAAAUGGAAAGACUCCUGGACCAAGAUGUUCACAUGCUAUAGCAAUGGUUGGAAACAAAAUGUACUCUUUCGGGGGAGAGUUAAAGCCGAAUUUUCACAUCGAUCGAGACCUCUACUUCUUCGAUUUGGAGACUCGCAGAUGGUCGCUUGCUGAUCCAGACGGUGAUGUUCCUGAGCUCCCUUGCUUAGGCGUUUGCAUGGUAGCCAUCGGCACUACACUCUAUGUCUUUGGUGGCCGCGACGGCUUCCGUAAUUACAAUGGCUUCUACUCUUACGACACGGUUAAAAGCGAGUGGAAACUCAUAACUCACGUCAACAAUGGACCUGCACCGCGUAGCUUCCACUCUAUGGCUGCUGAUUGCAAUAAUAUUUAUAUCUUUGGUGGAGUGACUACUAAGGAACGUGUCAACACACUUCAUGCUUACAACAUCGUUGAUAAAAAGUGGACUGAGCUUCCGAAUCCAGGAGAGUCUUGCAAAGGGAGAGGUGGAGCGGGGCUUGCGGUUGUGCAAGGGAAGAUUUGGGUUGUUUAUGGGUUUAUUGGGGAAGAAGUCGAAGAUGUUCAUUGCUUUGAUCCAGUUGAAAGUAAGUGGACUAAAGUGGAAACAAGAGGUGAAAAGCCGUGGGGUAAGUUUUCCUUAAGUAUACGACUAAAAACAUUAAAAUGACAUGUAUCAAUUCGAUGGUUGAUUUGAAAGCUUUCAAAACCAUAUGGAAGAUAAAAGUCAAAAUAAUUCAAAUGUGAAAACAAUACUGUUCACUUUUUUCAAGAAUGUGUUCGAUAGAAAAAAAUAAGGUUUUUAUGUCAUAAUUUGUUUAAUGUCCAAUACGAUCAACCCAUGAUGUAUUAAUUAUAGUUUUAUUCCAUUAUUUUUAAUAAAAAAUGAUCCGAUCCAUCGGAAAAAAAUAUAUAAUAACAACAAAAAAUAUUUUAUGUAUACAAAUAAAAUGAUCAAAUAUAUAAAAAAACUAUCGAUAAUAUAUACAAAUAAACUCACCCUGCGCAAAACGCAGGUCUUAUCCUAGUGAAAUAUUAAAAAGCAACAAUAAUUAAUGUCAGAAUAAAAAGGGAGAAAUGUGAGCAUAGUGUGUAUAACGUGUGGGAUGAUAUAUUUUUUUUUUGGUUUAAAUGUGUACGUGAGAAAGUAUAAGCAAAAGUAAAGAAGUAAAAUUUACAUGAAGUGUAUAAAUAGAGAUUAGCACCUCUAAUAAUACCAUAUCACGCUCACUCAUACCUCGAACCCUAAGAGUAACACAAACCCUCAAGAGUCAGGUCUCUCCCUCUCCCUCUAUCUCUCUAUAUGUUACUACAAGUUUCCUGAUUUUCCUGUUUUAACUACAAUCAUGUCAAAGACUCAAAGGAAACAGAAACACUAACUCAGCGGAGACAUUUUCUUCCUUUUUUUCUUUAGUGAUAUAUAUAAAAACAGAGUUUGUGUUAUUCUUAGUUUGUUUUGAAAGAAGAAUUUCGCUGCUUUUCCAGGUUUUCGUUGAAGUUAGAAGAUGAACACAACGUUUGAAAAAGUGGGAGCAGUGGGUGGUAACAAAGGCGGACCAUUUGACGAUGGUGUUUUCGAUGGUGUGAAGAAAAUAACUGUCGGAAAAGACUGGGACUGUGUUUCUUAUAUCAAAAUUGAGUACGAGAAGGAGAAGGACGGAAAAUUUGAAACCCGUGAACAUGGGACCAUUCGUGGAGAACUUCAAGAGGUUAUAGAUCCUGACUUUGUUAUUCUUCAAUAUGUUCUUAUUAUACCUUUAUCGCAAUUUACAUUUGUUGUUUCUAAUGGAAAAUGAAAUCUAGUUCACGGUGGAUUAUCCGAACGAAUAUAUCACAUCUGUUGGUGGAAGCUACGAACACGUUUUAAGCUAUGGAACAGUGCUGAUCAAAUCUUUACGCUUCAAAACCUCAUAUGGAAGGACCUCUCCGAUACUCGGUCGUACGACCUUAUUUCGAAACCCAGCUGGGAGAGAAUUCAUGCUCGAGGGUAAAAAUGGUGGAAAGCUUCUAGGUUUCCAUGGACGUUCUGGUCAAGCUCUUGAUGCCAUUGGAGCUCACUUCUUCGCUGUGAAGUCUCCUCUUAAGCACUUUAACCUUCAAGGUGGGAAUGGAGGGAGUGCUUGGGAUGAUGGCGCUUUCGACGGUGUUAGAAAAAUACUCGUUGGACGAGGUGGUAAAUUUGUGAGUUAUGUGAGGUUUGAGUAUGCAAAAGGCCGAGGAAUGGUGCCACAUGCUCAUGGGAAGAGACAAGAAGUUCCCCAAGAGGUAUUAAUUGUUGACAUAAAAUAUAUGUAGUUUUGUGCUUGUUGAAUUUUUUUAAAAAAUGUUGCAGUUCGUGGUGGAUUACCCUAAUGAGCAUAUUACGGUAGUGGAGGGAACCAUCGAUGGCUACCUUACAUCGCUAAGGUUUAAGACAUCAAAAGGAAGAACCUCCCCUGCUUUUGGCAAUGUGGUUGGUAGGAAAUUUGUGCUUGGGGAAAAAGAUUUCAAGCUUGUCGGGUUUUGUGGUCGGUCCGGUGAUGCUAUUGAUGCUCUUGGUGCACAUUUUGCGCCUCUUCCACCUCCACCUCCAGCUCCAGCUCCUACUCCGGAUCCCUCUACCACAAAGAUGGGACCGCUAGGUGGUGACAAGGGAAAAACGUUUGACGAUGGUGUUUUGAAUGGUGUGAAGAAAGUAACCAUUGGAGCAG
rnacentral:lncRNA from 1 species